UACGGAAGGGGGCUAGCGUUGUUCGGAAUCACUGGGCGUAAAGCGCACGUAGGCGGAUCUUUAAGUCAGGGGUGAAAGCCCAGAGCUCAACUCUGGAAUUGCCUUUGAGACUGAGUGGCUUGAGUACGAGAGAGGUGAGUGGAACUGCGAGUGUAGAGGUGAAAUUCGUAGAUAUUCGCAAGAACACCAGUGGCGAAGGCGGCUCACUGGCCCGAUACUGACGCUGAGGGCACGAAAGCGUGGGGGAGCAAACAGG
rnacentral:rRNA from 1 species